GUCCCGGUAGGUUAGUGGUAGACUUUCGGAUUGUGGCUCCGAGCAUGGGGGUUCGAUGCUUGUAUCGUUCAUGAUACAAGGUGAAAAUCCCUCCCGGGGCA
rnacentral:tRNA from 1 species